rnacentral:misc_RNA from 1 species
GUGAAUCAUCAAAUCUUUGAACGCAUAUUGCACUCUCUGGUAUUCCGGAGAGGAUGCCUAUUUGAGGUUCAUUUCAAAUAAUAUAACUUCCAACAUUUCUCGUAAUUUAAGAUGGAUUGUCCAUUUGUUGUGGUCGCCUAAACUCCAACACAAGCUCAUUUGCUUGGCUUGCGUGAUACUUUCAGUUACCUCAUGACUUAACCAGGAAUCAUCUCGCGUGUUAUUAAUUUUGCAGGAUAUAAAAAUUUCCAUAUAUUUAUCUCAUGCGAAAUAGAAAUCGAAUCAUGACAUCAAAUUCGGG